rnacentral:rRNA from 1 species
GACGUAGGGCGCGAGCGUUGUCCGGAUUUAUUGGGCGUAAAGAGCGUGUAGGCGGCCAGACAGGUCCGUUGUGAAAACUCGAGGCUCAACCUCGAGAUGUCGGCGGAAACCGUCUGGCUAGAGUCCGGAAGAGGAGAGUGGAAUUCCUGGUGUAGCGGUGAAAUGCGCAGAUAUCAGGAAGAACACCUAUGGCGAAGGCAGCUCUCUGGGACGGUACUGACGCUGAGACGCGAAAGCGUGGGGAGCGAACAGG